UGCCAGACUCCUACGGGAGGCAGCAGUGGGGAAUAUUGCACAAUGGGGGAAACCCUGAUGCAGCAACGCCGCGUGGGUGAAGGAGCGUUUCGGCGCGUAAAGCCCUGUCAGCGGGGAAGAAGAAAGACGGUACCCGACCAAGAAGCCCCGGCUAACUACGUGCCAGCAGCCGCGGUAAUACGUAGGGGGCAAGCGUUAUCCGGAUUUACUGGGUGUAAAGGGAGCGUAGACGGCUGUGCAAGCCAGAUGUGAAAGCCCGGGGCUCAACCCCGGGACUGCAUUUGGAACUGUGUGGCUGGAGUGUCGGAGAGGCAGGCGGAAUUCCUAGUGUAGCGGUGAAAUGCGUAGAUAUUAGGAGGAACACCAGUGGCGAAGGCGGCCUGCUGGACGAUGACUGACGUUGAGGCUCGAAAGCGUGGGGAGCAAACAGGAUUAGAUACCCCCGUA
rnacentral:rRNA from 1 species